UCUCCAUCUGACUGAUGGCUUUCUAGCUCCACUGAAGUCAGCAGCAGAAUUUCCAGUAAGUUCAGCAGGGGCACAAUUUCACUCGUGGUUUCAGCAGAGUGGUUAGAAAUGCAGUUAAAGGGAAGGGAGAAUUUUAAGCGGAUUCCUCCUGCAUGGCAGUACAUAGGGUUAAAGGUUAACAACUGACCAAUUCCUCGGACAAGGUGUUAUUCAAAAUCAGGUGUGGAAAAAAAAAGAAUAGAAUGUCAGUCUUGGAUAUGACUGCCGGGAGCUGCUGCUGUUC